GUUAAAAAGCUCGUAGUUGGAUUUCUGCGGGGGCGGGGCGGCCGGAUGCUUAUAGCUCUCGAGCUAGCACUUCCCCUGCAUCCUGCCGCGAACCGUGCUACCAUUAGUUUGGUGGCGCCGGGGAUCGGCUCGUUUACUUUGAGAAAAAUAGAGUGUUCAAAGCAGGCCACACGCCUUGAAUAAGUUAGCAUGGAAUAAUGAUAAAGGACUUCGGUUCUAUUUUGUUGGUGUUCGGGACUGAAGUAAUGAUUGAUAAGGGACAGUUGGGGCGGCCCGUA
rnacentral:rRNA from 1 species